ensembl:lncRNA
AUUUCUAUCUGGAGAUUGCUCCUCUUGGAGCUCUUCUGUGAGCCUAGGACAUGGACUCGGUUUAUGCAGAGGUUACUCAGCCAGUAUUUUGGAGGAAGAGUAUGUGUAAAUGAUGAUAAAGCAAUUUCUGUGCUUGAAGAAACAUACCUCAGUUUGUGAAGUAAAACUCUUCCUUUUAGCGGAAGUGGCAUUUGUGUAAAUGGGUGUCCUGCUGAAUGUAUACUGAACAUCUUUCAAAUACUGUGCCAUAAGGCAUUUUGCACUUCCUCUACACAACCUGUGUUUACCCUAACUGCUGCCUGCUGAUGCCGGAGAGUGGGUGUUACAAAAGUAUGAGGCAUGAGAAACGACGUGGAAUGGAAAGGCUUGACAUCGUUACAGUUUGGGCAUGCAGAGCAGAAAGCAAUGACUGAUGCCAUCUCAGAACUGUCAGCUGUUAUCUAUUUGAGGAUGUUUAUCUUCCAAAAUAAAGCGGAAGUAAUAGAACACUGGUAUAGGGAAAAUAUAAAGAUGAAAGAGGGAGCCAAGAUACGAAACUUUGGACCAAACCACUCAGCUUACAGUCUUACAAAUGAUCAAACUACUUGCAAGCAUAUGGAGGGCUGCAGAGAAAUCAGUACCAGGAGACGCGGAUUUGUCAAGAAGAAGCUAAUUUCCUUUUGACAGAUUAACAGGAUUUGUUGUGACUUACAAAGCCAUAGAAAGUCAUUCAUCUUGAAUACAAUAAGAGGCAUACGUCUCUUGUGACAUCUUCAUAAGUAGGCUAGGAAACGCAGUCUAGGUGAAACUAGUAGAAGGUAAAUGUAAAACCCAUUGAUUAACUAUACUCAAAAGGACCAAUGAUUUACUGCCAGUAUGUCUGUGAAUGUGUGUAAGUGUAUGUAUACAGUGCGUUCUGAGAGGAUCGUAUUUAGGACCAUAAGAAAGAUACAAAUAACGGAAUACAGAAUAUGUCUAUUAAGGUUAUAAACAUUAGAGGACAAUAUUUGAACUUGAUAUAUUCUUGGAAAGCUAUUUAAAAAAAAACAACAAACAACAUGAUUCAAUAGUAAUGGGCUAACGUAAUACAGAUAAAUGCAGUCUUAUGUUUAAGCAGUGGUAAAAAAAAAAUAAAACAACAAAAAAACCUGCACAAGCUCUUUUUGGAGAAGAACUGAUAAAAGAUUUGCCGGAAAGGACAUAAAUUUACGACCCACAAGCCUGACUGUAAACCAACAGCAUCAUGCUGUUGCAAUAAGCGACAGGUAUAGAUAGUCAAAGGGAUGUCUGUGACAUGAGUUUUUUUUUUUAACAACUCAGUUUGAGGCAUCAGUAAGAAUCCACAAUUUGAGAACAUUGUAAAGAGAAUUAACAAUAGGCAAGUUGUGUGCAGAAAGUGAAAGAACUGGAGUAGCUUAAUUGAGAAAGAAAAAAAAUAAAGAAAUGAGGAAACACAAGGUGAGAGUUUUCAGCAAGCAAAAGACAGCUGCAAAACACAAGGAGUAAUAGAAUAGACUGGAUGGCCAACAUGGCCAACUGAGAUCCCUGCUAGCUCUGUCUGUUGUGAUUCUAGACAGGCACCUUUCCAGGAGCUCUUUGCUAUUGACGGUUUUAGAGUACAAGUUGAAUUGUAUGGUUUUGUUUGUGCAUAUGCUUGUCCAUACGCUUUCUGGGUUACUCUUUAAAAUUUUGAGUUUAAUUUGUGGAUUAAGGACCGGUUGCAAAAUGCUGUGAUUAUCAAAGUGUACAUGAUGCUUCCAGAGUCCUCCUAUUAACUUGAUAGAGUGGAAGAGCUUCCCUUUGAAGCAUUUGAAGAACAGUGAAAUACAUUACUAUUUAUUACAAAGACCCAUUGAGGAACUAUUGAAUCAUGCUUCUUUCCUCCAGUUACAAAUUAUUUUAUACAUUAAUAUUAUCAGUAUGUUAUAGUGGCUCUGUUUUACGGAAUACCUUAUUUCAAAGGAUGCUUAACGUUGUCAGUCUCAAUUCUUUUGUUGGUUUUUUCCCUCUCGUUGUUCAAUGGCUUGGUGAAUCAAAGGCUUGCUGUCAGGCUGCUGCUGAUAUGUAGCAGGGGAAACAUCUCCAAAAAUCUACAACUUAAAUAUAUAAAUAUCUCCUCUUGUGUUAGGUCAGUUGAAUUACUACUGGGUUUUUUUUCUUGAGAAUAAUGUGUUUCUGGAGACUUGCCUACCCUUUUAUCUAGAAGCUGAGUAUCUGUGUUAGUGAUUUUAUUGAUACUUGAUGUCAAGUAAUUAAAGACUGAGU